rnacentral:rRNA from 1 species
GACGAACGCUGGCGGCGUGCCUAAUACAUGCAAGUAGAACGCUGAAGGAGGAGCUUGCUUCUCUGGAUGAGUUGCGAACGGGUGAGUAACGCGUAUGUAACCUGCCUGGUAGCGGGGGAUAACUUUUGGAAACGAUAGCUAAUACCGCAUAAUAGUAGAUGUCGCAUGACAUUUGCUUAAAAGUUGCAAUUGCAUCACUACCAGAUGGACCUGCGGUGUAUUAGCUAGUUGGUGAGGUAACGGCUCACCAAGGCAACGAUACAUAGCCGACCUGAGAGGGUGAUCGGCCCCACUGGGACUGAGACACGGCCCAGACUCCUACGGGAGGCAGCCGUAGGGGAUCUUCGGCAAUGGACGGAAGUCUGACCGAGCCAAGCCGCGUGAGUGGAGAAGGUUGUCGGAUCGUAAAGCUCUGUUGUAAGAGAAGAACGAGUGUGAGAGUGGAAAGUUCACACUGUGACGGUAUCUUACCAGAAAGGGACGGCUAACUACGUG